GAGGGGUUUUAGGAAUACACUCACAUAGCAAAGCAGUGUGAAGAAACAGAAAAGGAACCGGAAAAGAGAAGGAAACCCAAGGAAGUGUGGAGUCCCACCCUCUCCCCCCACCCCUGCCCCAGAAGUCCUCCCAGGAAAGAGCGUGACCGGAAGUGUACGGUUGGCCCGAACCAUGAUAAGUCCUCCCAGGAGAGGGUGUGACCAGGCAGAACGAGCAGUAGUAACUCGAGUCCAAGAGAUGGUGAGACUUAACCGUGAGUCAGAGAUCACGCACGGGCUACCCUAAGCAUGAGGGCUUCCAUGGAGUGAUGGAAGUGGGAGCCUAUCUAAGGGGACUUAAAGAGAAAAAGGAGAAACAAACCCAAGUGUCCAUCAAGAGAUGACUGAACAACAAAAUGAGUACACUGUAGCUGUCUUUAGACGCACUAGGAGAGGGCGUUGGAUCUCAUCACAGGUGGUUGUGAACCACCAUGUGGUUGCUGGGAAUUAAACUCAGAACCUUUGGAAGAGCAGCCUGACUCUGUCACCCCCACCUGACUUGAAUGCUAAUCAUUGGUCCACAUGAUCACACCAGAAAUGAGAUCACCAUCCGGAACAAUAUCCACUGUGUGACAUCACUAGGAAGGAAAGGUGGGUCCCAGGGGGAUUUCACAGACUCCAGUCUUCAAAGUCCUCAUGAAGUGGGAAGGGACCUUGCACAGUCGGAUGGGCUUUGACUUCAAAGGAAUGUGCAGGGCAAAGAUCAGCCAACAGGGAGCUUCACCCCAGCCGGGAAGCAUGGAAAGGAGCUUCCAGAGUCUCUUCAGAUCAAAAGGUCCCUGCUACCCUGAUGACUGUGUCGUCACGCCCAACUGAACUACCGCUGCCUAACUUGGAAUUUGUUCCACAUAACAGCCAUGUUUCUGGGAAGCAGAGUUUGAGACAAGCAACGGCAUGAACUCAGAUGCAGUUCCAGGGAGAACAACAUCAACUCAAGCUGUCAUGGAAAGUCAGUACAGGGCACCCCUGGGCACAGAAGUCCUUGGCACUGCCUGAUCACUAUCUUUGAUAGGCAGGUCAGCUCCCGGGUCCCCAGAGCAGUCCUGCAAUAAAGUAGCAGGUGUGAACCUUGGGAAUCGAAUCACAGCGGUGCUGAGGAGGAGCGAAUGGUAUUAGAGUUACCCAAAGCAAGUUACCAAAACUGUUGAGACCUGUCACAUGCCUCAAAAAAAAAAAAAAAAAAAAAAAAGCAUUUCCAGAGAGUUUCCUGUGUCUGGCCUUUUCUUUCCAUUCCCCUUUCUCCUUGUUUUAUAGUCUAGCUUCUUUAGC
rnacentral:lncRNA from 1 species